UUUUAUGUUUUCUUGCCUUAAAUUCUCCCAGACAGCCUGAUCCCAUCUGAUCUUGGAAGCUAAGCAGGAUCAGGCCUGGUUAGUACUUGGAUGGGAGACCACCUAGGAAGACCCAGGUGCUAUAGGCG
rnacentral:rRNA from 1 species